GACGAACGCUGGCGGCGUGCCUAAUACAUGCAAGUAGAACGCAGUUGCGAACGGGUGAGUAACGCGUAGGUAACUGCCUCAUAGCGGGGGAUAACUAUUGGAAACGAUAGCUAAUACCGCAUACUGUGAGAUCGACCUGCGUUGCAUUAGCGAGUUGGUGAGGUAAAGGCUCACCAAGGCGACGAUACAUAGCCGAGCGUAGAGGGUUAUCGGCCACACUGGGAAUGGAACACGGCCCCGAUGCGUGCGGGAGGCAGCAGUAGUGAAGCUUCGGCAAUGGACGGAAGUCUGAACGGACAACGACGAGUGGGUGAAGAAGGUUUUUGGAGCGUAAAGCUAAGUUGUGAGAGAGGCGUUAACUAACGAGAAAGGGACGGCUAACUACGUGCCAGCAGGCGCGGUAAUAC
rnacentral:rRNA from 1 species